AUUGAACGCUGGCGGCAUGCCUAACACAUGCAAGUCGAGCGGAUGAAGGGAGCUUGCCCUCGGAUCCAGCGGCGGACGGGUGAGUAAUGCCUAGGAAUCUGCCUGGUAGUGGGGGAUAACGUCCGGAAACGGGCGCUAAUACCGCAUACGUCCUGAGGGAGAAAGUGGGGGAUCUUCGGACCUCACGCUAUCAGAUGAGCCUAGGUCGGAUUAGCUAGUUGGUGGGGUAAAGGCCUACCAAGGCGACGAUCCGUAACUGGUCUGAGAGGAUGAUCAGUCACACUGGGACUGAGACACGGUCCAGACUCCUACGGGAGGCAGCAGUGGGGAAUAUUGGACAAUGGGCGAAAGCCUGAUCCAGCCAUGCCGCGUGUGUGAAGAAGGUCUUCGGAUUGUAAAGCACUUUAAGUUGGGAGGAAGGGCAGUAAGUUAAUACCUUGCUGUUUUGACGUUACCAACAGAAUAAGCACCGGCUAACUACGUG
rnacentral:rRNA from 1 species